UACGUAGGGUGCGAGCGUUGUCCGGAAUUAUUGGGCGUAAAGAGCUUGUAGGCGGUUUGUCGCGUCUGCCGUGAAAAUCCGGGGCUCAACCCCGGACUUGCGGUGGGUACGGGCAGACUAGAGUGUGGUAGGGGAGGCUGGAAUUCUUGGUGUAGCGGUGAAAUGCGCAGAUAUCAGGAGGAACACCGAUGGCGAAGGCAGGUCUCUGGGCCACUACUGACGCUGAGAAGCGAAAGCAUGGGGAGCGAACAGG
rnacentral:rRNA from 1 species